rnacentral:misc_RNA from 1 species
UUGUUUCCUCAUUAUUUUGCAGGUUGUCCAAUUUUAUUUUGAUAUCAUAUGAGGACUUGAUUAUUGGAAUACUCAUCCAAUAAUUCAAUGCAGUCAAUCAGAAAUCCAGAUCAAGCGAAAAGAAGUGGAUAUUGCAGUUCUGUUUAUGUACACAAAUAAUCCUAAGAUUAGUAAUAGGGCUCUAGAAUCAAUUCUAGAUUAAAGAGUUUAAUUAGAG